rnacentral:rRNA from 1 species
UACGUAGGUGGCAAGCGUUGUCCGGAUUUACUGGGCGUAAAGCGAACGCAGGCGGCCCUUUAAGUCGGAAGUGAAAGGUUGGAGCUCAACUCUAACACUGCUCCCUAUACUGGAGGUCUUGAGUGCCGGAGAGGAAGACGGAACAAGUUGUGUAGCGGUGAAAUGCGUUGAUAUAACUUGGAACACCAAUGGCGAAAGCAGUCUUCUGGACGGAUACUGACGCUCAGGUUCGAAAGCCAAGGUAGCAAACAGG